UCUGCAAGAAAAAAAAAAGAAAAAAAAGUUAAAGUUAAUUAAAAAAUAAAAAUAUUAACACAAUAUGCGACAUUGGCUAUUAUUAGACACCAACUAAAGUGUUAGGUGAAUAUGACAACAUUUACAGAAAAUAUAAGAUAGUAUUCAGGCCGGAAGGAGCUUUGCUACCACCUUCUCGACAACACGAGGAAGCCAUAUUUAGGCAAAAUGGCGCUCGAACAUCACAAACUAAGAACGAUUAAUUUGACCACUAAAAGGUAUUUUCGAUCAAUACACGUGCCAUUUUAUAACAACGAAGAUUACUUUAAUAAAAUGUCGAUCACACGAGGCGAAUGUCAACCGAAGAGGACAACUUUAACAACCGAGCUAAAGCAGCUUCAAUCGAAGACUUUGAAUCUGUUUAGAGAAGCUGUGUCGACGCAACGUGACGUGACGAAGGAGGGUUGCACAAGGCACCGGUAAAGGAUCACGGACCAACCGGGUGGAACUGGUACACAUCUCGACCCAGUUUUGCUUAUAAAGAUCUUCCCGGUGCGUGCAAAGCAGAUGGUUGACGCUUCUAAUUUAGGCUAAGCGUAUAGGAAGCAGUUUCAUUGGUCUUAACGUGGCCUAAGCUAACAUGUUAUAUUCUCACAAUUUAUAGAAACAAUCAAUUACCUAUUUAAAGAACACAGUAAUAUAACAUAAUCACUUUGUGUGCAUCUCAUACAUAUAAUUUAUGUAAAAUAGUAACAUUGAAUGUUUCAAUAGCCUUUGUUAGCGUUAGCUUUAGCCAAAACUCGCUUUUAAAUCAACGCAGUUGCUAUAUAAAAGGUGAAAAAACCCAAUAAACGUUAAAUGUGAUACACAUAAUAAGUUUGUCAAAGUAUUACUCACCACGCUGAGGUUGUUACUCUUGAUCAACUUAAUGCCGGUUUCCCGUUAAGCUAAUUAGCGCGCGCGCGCACUAACCGGUUACGGUAGCGAGCGCGGGAUAAAAAAGAAGAUCCAACAAAUCUCAGCCUCAAGUAAAAAAAA